AAAUUCACGUGAAAUUCAUGUGAAAAAUUUCACAUCAGAUUCAUGUGAAUCCAAUUCUCGUGAAAUUCACAUGAAAAUUUCACGUGAGUUAUGUAUAAGCUCGAUUGAGGUGAAUCUCGCGUGAAAUUUUUCAUGUGAAUUUCAUGUGAAUUU
rnacentral:sRNA from 1 species